rnacentral:rRNA from 1 species
AACGAACGCUGGCGGCAGGCCUAACACAUGCAAGUCGAGCGGACCCUUCGGGGUUAGCGGCGGACGGGUGAGUAACGCGUGGGAACGUGCCCUUUGCUUCGGAAUAGCCCUGGGAAACUGGGAGUAAUACCGGAUACGCCCUUUUGGGGAAAGAUUUAUCGGCGAAGGAUCGGCCCGCGUUGGAUUAGGUAGUUGGUGGGGUAAUGGCCUACCAAGCCGCCGAUCCAUAGCUGGUUUGAGAGGAUGAUCAGCCACACUGGGACUGAGACACGGCCCAGACUCCUACGGGAGGCAGCAGUGGGGAAUCUUAGACAAUGGGGGAAACCCUGAUCUAGCCAUGCCGCGUGAGCGAUGAAGGCCUUAGGGUUGUAAAGCUCUUUCACCGGGGAAGAUAAUGACGGUACCCGGAGAAGAAGCCCCGGCUAACUCCGUG